rnacentral:tRNA from 1 species
GGCCCCGUAGCUCAGGUGGAUAGAGCGUCGGAUUCCUAAUCCGAAGGUCGCGCGUUCGAGUCGCGCCGGGGUCA